rnacentral:rRNA from 1 species
AGAGAAUAGAUACCCUGGUAGUCCACGCCGUAAACGAUGAGUGCUAGGUGUUGGGGACUCCAAAUCCUCAGUGCCGCAGCUAACGCAAUAAGCACUCCGCCUGGGGAGUACGGCCGCAAGGCUGAAACUCAAAGGAAUUGACGGGGUACCCGCACAAGCGGUGGAGCAUGUGGUUUAAUUCGAAGCAACGCGAAGAACCUUACCAGGGCUUGACAUCCCUCUGAAACCCUCUAGAGAUAGAGGCUCCCUUCGGGGUCAGAGGUGACAGGUGGUGCAUGGUUGUCGUCAGCUCGUGUCGUGAGAUGUUGGG